UAUUGCGAGCUAAUCCUACCCCCUCUCCGCAGUUUCUGGAAAACGUGGGCUCCAUUACCAGCAGUAUCAAGAUCGGAGGCGAGGGCCGAGCAGUUUUGGCGGCGAGUGGGCGAUUUUGCGUUGGGCGCCCUCGUCGGCAUUGGCUUUCAGCCAUGGAGGAAUCGGCGCCUCGGCUUCACGACGACACGUUACAGCGUCUCCACCGCCACCACUUCUGCCCUGAGGUUAUUUGGCGGUGGGCAGCAGCGUGUGAAAUCUACUGCAGAGGAUUUGGGCAUUUUCCUACCGGUGGAAGACCUGCAUCCAGCUCCACAAGUCCUUUACUAGCCCUCCUUGCUGCAGUUCCAUCCUCUACCGUCAGGCCAGGCUGUAGUGCAGAAAAACUUUGAAAGAUGACCAUGUAAAAAUGACAAGCAUCAACUGGAAGAGAAAUACCUGAAAGUACAACUCGUGGCAAGCUUCGUUUCUGUUACGGACAGGGAUGGCUCAAACGAUAAGAUAAGUUACACAUGUGUUGUGCUGUACAUUUUUAUUUGCAUUAAACCUGACUUCUGUUUUCCAAUUUUUAUGUCCACAAAGCUAUAAUCCACCCAUCAUCACUAGUUCACUACUAUUAGUUCUAAUGGAAAAUUUGAUAGACUUCAUUAGAUGAAGUUUUCUCCCAAUGGCGCCCAUAAAAAAUGGGAUGGAUAUCUCUCCCAUUAUGAUGAUCUGGCUGCCUAUCUUCCUGGCACGGAACAUAGGGCAUUAUCAAGAGGAAUGACCCCCCUGUGUUUGAUCUUUGUAAUAUCUUCACUGGGUACAACUUCUGUAAUAGAAAGGUAUGACUAAUGUAUUCUAUUUGACCGUGUUUAA